GACCUAGGCAACCCUCCACACUCAAUUCCAUCAGCAAUAACAGAGAAGACCACAAAGAGAAAGAAAAUGGAUAAAGAAACGCACUAAGAAAGAAUAUGGAGAGUGAAAAUGAGAGGCAGGAUCUUGCAGCCUUCAUUGGGUCAGCAUUGCCGAAUUUAAGCACAAAUGAAGUUCUCCUAGAUGCUUUAAAGACAUUGGGUGUGGAGGGCCUGGAAGACUUUAAAUAUGUAAAUGGAGAAGAUCUUCUGCAUGUCCUGAAGCCUGUUGAAGCAAGGAAGCUAAUAGCCCACUUUAAAGUAAAAUGUGAAGAAUCCAGUUUCCCUACACCAUCCACACCAAAAAGUGUGCCUGCCAGUCCAAGGUCUUAUGUAGAGGAAUCACCUGGAAUGAUUUCUGCGGUUCCAAGACCGGCAUCCAAGGUCACCAGUGGCUGGAUCCUCAGAGUCAAAUUCGAGUGCUUGCUCCACACCACAUAGACCAGCAACAGGGGAUAAUGAUUGGCAUUUCAGUUUUUCUGUGCCAUGGCACAGGAUGGCACCAGAGGUCUUACUAAAGCUGGAGCAUCAAGUGUGCCCAACUGCUGGGGAGGAGCAGGAAAUAAUUAGAAUUCUUGUCAGUGAAAUUCUUACCUGCUGUGCCAACCCUGGAAAAAAAACAUUUGAACGAAGUAGGCAGGCAGAUGGUUCUUAAAUACCCCAAGUCUUUUAAGGAUGUGAUGGAGGACCGGGUAAUCAGAAGUGGCUAUGAUUCCCUUGUCAAGCAAAUACAGUGCAGAAUCAACAAUCUAAAAAGAACAAGCACUCCCAUAUCAAGAAGAAAAGCCAGUAGCAGUCCACCUGAAGAACCAGCCACAAAAAGAGUUUGCCAUGACAGCUAUGACUGUAUCAACUGGCAACCAAGAAGGCUGUUAGCCAAUGAAAUGGAGUCACUAAAAAAGCUGCAAGAGGAACUGUAUAGGAUGUUCCAUAACCAGAGUAAAGAUCAGAGCAAGAUUAAUAAGUUCAUGAAGGAAACAUUUUCCACCCAGAGACAACACAUCCUAGAAGGAAUGGAAACCAGCGACCUGCUGGAAGCAUGACUGAAUCUUUUUGACAUAAAGGGAAUAGAAGAACAUUUUACACAGUUGACAGGUGUUGACCUUGAUGAUGCAUUUAAUCAGGCCAUGUCUGCUAAAUUUGAAAGAAUAGCGACCUACCUAAAAUCUCUUCUGGACAAAAUUCAACAAAGAAAGCUGGACAAUGUGAUCAACAGCACAAGCAUACCGGCUGCUGUAAUGUUGUUGCUUUGGUUUUUCAACAAGGAUGACAAACAAAUGUUUUUUUUUCCCACGGCACGCAGGAACUAGCGCCGUGGGCUAUGCGUGGCAAAUUGUGGUCACUCACUCACUCUCUCACUCACUCACGGACAACCUUUGAGGGAGGUUUGGUGGGACGCAUGCGCAGGUGGUGCUUCGUUUAGUAAGACGCAUGCGCAGGUGGUACGGCACUACAUUUUUAAGCACAGCUUUAUCGCCUAACAUUACUUUAGCUAACCCUAACAUGUUCGCGUUUCGUCUACUUUAACUAACCUAGUUAGCACAUACGGAUGCUAUCCUGCAGUAGGAGCUAAAGACACACAACUACAACCACCGAUACAGAUGUAUGGACACAUGGAGGACAACAAAUACAGGUCAUGACGUGCCAUAGCUAGCUAGCUAUAUAGUACGGAGGGCAAAACGGAGCUUUAGAAUGUCACCAGCAGUGUAUGCGCGAGUUUGACAACACAUUUCUCAUAGAAAAGGUAGAUUGUAACUUUUUUUUUAGUUCAUCACAGUGGUGGUACAAGUGACAAGAAGUAAGUGGUACUGUGCUGUUAGCCUUUAUUGAUCGCUGUACAAGGUUCAUGUAAAGAAGCUAGCACAAUCUGACAGCACUAACCCAUAAAAAUGUACUGUGAAUGGUACUUGCUCAAUCGAACAGUAAAUGUGAAAAACAUUCGAUUACAGUCAGCGGCACCAAAAUUUUCUGUCACACCCUCAAUAAACGGAAAAACUCCCAGUAGAAGAUUGAAUUAAAUCUUUUAACGUUAUAUAUUUUCUGAAACGUUAUUGAUUUCGCUUGGCCACAGUGAAUUAAACUAGGCGAUCUGAGCGUAUAGUUUCAAUGUAACUUACGUCAAAAGGAUUCAGCCUUGUUGUUUGCUACCUAAACUUCACAGCACAGUCAUUACCGUUAUCAUGAUUGUAGCAUAAAGUGUCUAUUUUCAACCAACUGCCACAUAUGAGCGCAUAAAAUCAACCAAAAAAUAUAGUUCACCAAGUUGCGCCGUGGGUCUGGACGGUUUUGUGCUUGUUUAUGUUGACAACACUUGUCUGCCCUCUGAGGUGAACCUGGAAAUGCUAACUACCAUGCCUUCCAUUGUGGUUUGCAGUAAGUAACAACAUUUAUUUGUUAUGAUGACAUGCUUGUAUUAACAUUCUGUCACUUAAAGUGCAUGUAUUUAUUUUAUUGUAUAACAAAACUGGACCACAUUGCUUGUGUCGUUUGCACACAGGCACCAGUCCCCUGACAGCGUCAGCCUUCAUGAUCACUGUGAAAAGUAAUCAUCAAUAGAAAUGUCUCCAGUUUUUGCGAGGCACUGAUAAUAAUGUUCACGGCUUACUACUGUCUAAACAUCAACUACCCAAUGGAGUUGGCUGCAACCUUUUUUUUUAGGUGCAUCUUCAAGGUAAACCCGGACAAGGUGUCAAAGGUCGAGGAUAAAGGAAAGAAAAAGACCUACUCCCUGAACCCAAAAGUCCUGGCUCUGAUUUCUAGCAUUUCAGAUUUUGAGUGGAGGUAGACUUCUCCAAUGAAGUGACACCCUUGCUUCUGAAAUCUAGGUCAUUGCAGCUUCCAAAAUUUGUUAUGCUUUGGUGGUUUGGUCAACCUGUUUUUUAAAAAUAUAUUCAUAUGUUUCUCUUUUACAUCUGAGUAUUAUUUCAUACAAUAAAUCUUGACGAGAGCAAGAUACAACUGACAGGACAUUAAAAAGAGUUGGGAUCACAACUGAAUAAAACUUUUCUCGGUCUCGUCCUAAGUUCACUGUGCUCUCAUGAUACAGAUUUGCCUUUUGGGGGCAUCAGAGUACUUCAGCACAUCCCUCAUAAUGUUGUCUAUGGGUCCAGAGUUUUGAUUUAGUCGCUUUAGUACUAUUGAAACUAAAGAUUAUACAGGAUGCAAGGCUACCAUCUACUUUAUGAUAGGUUACUGGUAAGUGGGACAAUUUUGAGGAACGUUUUCACAGAGGAAAAAACAUUAUUACCAUUAAUACCAGUUCCUUGACCUCUCAGGUCAAAUUGCUGAACAAGAGCAUGUUCAUUAAAAUCACUUGGUGCUCUCCUUUACAACCAUACAGAACUUCCAGCUCAGUAUGGUUUAGAGGUUAAAUAAUGCAGUUAUGUACAAAUAUGUAUACUUUUAGAAAAUGUUAUGUUUCCCUUUGUCCUGCUUCUUAUGACCGCCCUGCACAAAAUGGGAUGAUCCACAAUGGUCUAAACUUGUGGAUCAUAUGUGAAUAAAAAUAUCCUUUUUAUUCACAUAUGAUUUUGGGAUAAGGUAUACCAAUCCGGUCAAUUUAGGGAAUUAUGCUUGACCUUACUUCUCAUGAUGACCUUUGAUGACCUCUAGGGAAAUAACACCGAGAAACACACUCACACAAUUUUUGGAAUGUAAAGCGGAUCUUUUUAGCCAUUUUUAUGAGUAAGGUUUUGCAAACAAUUUUUUUAGCUAUUUAAAUGUUGCAAGCUAUCAGAUCUGUUAAAUACAUAACAGGAAAAAAUAUUACAAUGGAAUAUGUAUAAUAUAUUCGAAUGGCAGGUAUGCCAUCCCUCUAGUUACGCCUUGGUGUGGCGGCAUGCCCCAUACCUGUACAGCACUGAGUGUCUGGAACCUUUCUGGGUUUCCCACAGAAAUAACCACAAUGACCACAGACUCUCAGCCCACAUUAACUUCUGUACCUUCAUGUCAACAGACAGUUCACAAAUAACUUCCUCGCAAUAAACCUAGGGGAUUUAUGCUUGGGUAUGUGUGGCUGCCAUAGGUACUGGCUCACUUGUCUUCACUGAUGAUGUGACUGCUGAUAGCAGCAUGUUAUGAAAGGAGGUGUACAUAAGUAUCUUGUCUACUCAAGCUCAAGCAUAUGCCUCAAAACUCAUUGGAUGGCACUUCAUCCUACAGCAAGAAAGUGAUCCAAAUAUACUGCAAAAGCAACAAAGGAGCCAAAAACUGGGAAGUUCCUGUCAUUUACCCAAUCUGAAUUCAAAUGAACAAAUGUUUCAUAUUCUGAAGAGAAAACUUAAGACAACUAGCCCCUGAAACAAGCUGAACCUAUAGGUGGUUGCAGUACAGGCCUGGCACUGGAUCACCAGAGAAGAUACUCAGCACCUGGUGAUGUCUAUGGGUCACAGUCUUUAAGCAAUUGCAUGUGGAGGAUAUGCCACAGGGCACUAAACUUGACUACUGGCAGUCCCCGGGUUAAGAACGUCCGACUUACGGACAACUCGUACUUACGAACGGACUGCCAUACAGCCUAUUAUAUAAAAAAUUUGAGUUAAAUACAAUGGUUCAUACUAAUGAACGCACGCACUACUUUGCAACGCUCAUGAAAACAUUGCAUUAGUGUAUUUGGAAGUGUUUCUUAAGUGUUUUAUAUGCAUAGAAAGGUAGAAUAUAUACUAUAUACUAAGACAAGCAUUUGACUAACUGACGCUAAAUAAGAACCGUAUAUACCUGUUCCGACUUACCUACAAAUUCGACUUAAAGACAGAUUUAGGAACGGAUCUCGUUUGUAACCCGGGGACUGC